rnacentral:rRNA from 1 species
GACGAACGCUGGCGGCGUGCUUAACACAUGCAAGUCGAACGGUGAAGCGCCUUCCUUUUUGGUGGGUGUGGAUGAGUGGCGAACGGGUGAGUAACACGUGAGUAACCUGCCCCCUCCUUCUGGAUAACCGCAUGAAAGUGUGGCUAAUACGGGAUAUUCUGGGUCUGUCGCAUGAUGGGUCUGGGAAAGAUAUUGUUUCGGUGGGGGAUGGGCUCGCGGCCUAUCAGCUUGUUGGUGGGGUGAUGGCCUACCAAGGCGGUGACGGGUAGCCGGCCUGAGAGGGUGGACGGUCACACUGGGACUGAGACACGGCCCAGACUCCUACGGGAGGCAGCAGUGGGGAAUAUGGCACAAUGGGCGCAAGCCUGAUGCAGCGACGCCGCGUGAGGGAUGGAGGCCUUCGGGUUGUGAACCUCUUUCGCCAGUGAAGCAGGCCUGCCUCGUUUGUGGGUGGGUUGACGGUAGCUGGAUAAGAAGCGCCGGCUAACUACGG